UUGCUCCCUUAGGUCAGCGGCGGACGGGUGAGUAACACGUGGGUAACCUGCCUGUAAGACUGGGAUAACUCCGGGAAACCGGGGCUAAUACCGGAUGCUUGAUUGAACCGCAUGGUUCAAUCAUAAAAGGUGGCUUUUAGCUACCACUUACAGAUGGACCCGCGGCGCAUUAGCUAGUUGGUGAGGUAACGGCUCACCAAGGCGACGAUGCGUAGCCGACCUGAGAGGGUGAUCGGCCACACUGGGACUGAGACACGGCCCAGACUCCUACGGGAGGCAGCAGUAGGGAAUCUUCCGCAAUGGACGAAAGUCUGACGGAGCAACGCCGCGUGAGUGAUGAAGGUUUUCGGAUCGUAAAACUCUGUUGUUAGGGAAGAACAAGUACCGUUCGAAUAGGGCGGCACCUUGACGGUACCUAACCAGAAAGCCACGGCUAACUACGUGCCAGCAGCCGCGGUAAUACGUAGGUGGCAAGCGUUGUCCGGAAUUAUUGGGCGUAAAGCGCGCGCAGGCGGUUUCUUAAGUCUGAUGUGAAAGCCCCCGGCUCAACCGGGGAGGGUCAUUGGAAACUGGGGAACUUGAGUGCAGAAGAGGAGAGUGGAAUUCCACGUGUAGCGGUGAAAUGCGUAGAGAUGUGGAGGAACACCAGUGGCGAAGGCGACUCUCUGGUCUGUAACUGACGCUGAGGCGCGAAAGCGUGGGGAGCGAACAGGAUUAGAUACCCUGGUAGUCCACGCCGUAAACGAUGAGUGCUAAGUGUUAGAGGGUUUCCGCCCUUUAGUGCUGCAGCAAACGCAUUAAGCACUCCGCCUGGGGAGUACGGUCGCAAGACUGAAACUCAAAGGAAUUGACGGGGGCCCGCACAA
rnacentral:rRNA from 1 species